CAAAAAAAACUUUUUUCAUAAUACUAAUUAGUUAAGUGCAGAGACAUAUUCCUUCGUGCCCUCUAUUUAGCGUGCGAAAUUUUCAACACGAUAUCUCCUUCCGUUUGGACCAGAGAGGUGCAUCGUUGCAGAAGACCCUUCCAAUAAAAUACGCGUACAUAAAUAGGAUUUUUGAUGGAAGAAGGCACACUGUCCAUGUACAGACGAUAAGGGAUUACAAACCAGAGCACAUAAUGAAUUUCGACAAAGAGAAAAUAUAUGAAGUUGAUUUUUUUCCGAUUAAAGAUGGCGCAAUGUCCUUCAAUGCUUACGUUCUUCUUCUAGGAGUGAGUAAAAAAGACCUAGAAGGAAAAACAAACUAAGCGUAUAGCGGUUCCUGUCAUUCAUCACGACGACAAGGAUCUUGAAAGGAAGAAACGCGACGAUGCAAGAAAGUCAUCGAAAUCUUGCAGAAAAGUCGAUUUUGAUGCUAACAUGGAGACGGAAGGAGAGCUUAAAAAAAGUAGAGAAGGAAGCGAAAAAAUGAAAGCAUGCUCUGCAGAAAGAAGCCAGCAGAAUUUUGCUGGCGGAACUGCCGUAGAAGAAGUUCAUAAUUCACAUAUUUAUACAUUUGUAAUGCAUUUAAAAUUAUAGAACUGCCGAAGAAGUGUCUCUCUGGGCCAGAAGGCAAAAGUCACGGCGCAGAUGAAACGAUGCCGCGAAACUGAUUAUGGAUCGCCGUUCGAAGAGGAUUCCGGAAAAGGACAUGUUAAAAGUGCGGCAUUACGUAAGUGAAAAAAUAAAUGACCUGAGCCGAAACCUGAAAAAUUCGGAAAAGCUUAAUCGGCUAAAAAUGGUAAAUUCCUUACUACAAUGAUAAAAUUGAUGUGUUUUAUAGAAAAUUCGACGUUCCGACUAGAAAAUUUAAUAAUUCACUUAAUUUCUCUUUUUUUACUGAAAACCCUUACUUGUUAAAAAAUCCCCCUCGCUUGUAAGAAAUCAAUGUUUUUUGGGUAUAAGAAGAACUGUUUGGUUACAAAUUUAUUUGUUUUUGUUUCAAAUUUAACUUUAAUUACAAAAUUGAAAUUUUUUAGUUAAAAUUUCAAUUAUUUCGUGGAAAAUGUACCUAUUUUAUAACUGAAAAUGUAACCAUAUUCAAUUUUUGAUAAAAUAUAGAUUUUGUUUAUUGGAAAACUUGCAAAAAGCCGUCUUCUUGGCUUGAGAUUGACACAAAUCUUGUAAAAAAGUUUUUCCUUUCUGAUUGACAAUGCCUCUUUCAUAUUAAAAAUCCAACCAUUUUUUUUUAAUUUGACUGAAAAUCCUCUUUUGUUUCAAAAUUUCCUGCUUUACUGAAAAUUAAUAUUUCUUAG